UACGGAGGGUGCAAGCGUUAUCCGGAUUUACUGGGUUUAAAGGGUGUGUAGGCGGGCUUUUAAGUCAGUGGUGAAAGCCCCGGGCUUAACCUGGGAAUGGCCGUUGAAACUGGCGAACUGGAGUGUGGCAGAGGGGGGUGGAAUUCCGCGUGUAGCAGUGAAAUGCGUAGAGAUGCGGAGGAACACCGAUGGCGAAGGCAGCCCCCUGGGCUAACACUGACGCUCAGGCACGAAAGCGUGGGGAGCAAACAGG
rnacentral:rRNA from 1 species